rnacentral:rRNA from 1 species
GACGAACGCUGGCGGCGUGCUUAACACAUGCAAGUCGAACGGUGAAGCGCCUUCCUUUUUGGUGGGUGUGGAUGAGUGGCGAACGGGUGAGUAACACGUGAGUAACCUGCCCCCUUCUUUUGGAUAACCGCAUGAAAGUGUGGCUAAUACGGGAUAUUCUGGGUCUGUCGCAUGAUGGGUCUGGGAAAGAUAUUGUUUCGCUGGGGGAUGGGCUCGCGGCCUAUCAGCUUGUUGGUGCGGUGAUGGCCUACCAAGGCGGUGACGGGUAGCCGGCCUGAGAGGGUUGACGCUCACAGUGGCACUGACACUCGCCCAUGACUGAUACAGGAAGCAGUAGUGAAGAUUCUUGCACAAUAGGAGAAAGCGUGAUGCAGCGUCGACGCGGGGGCGAUGGAGGCGUUCGCGUUGAGACCCUCUUUCACUAGUGAAGAAAAUAUGCAUCAUUUGUGAUUGGCUUGACGGUAGCUGGAUAAGAAGCGACGGCUAACUACGUG